ACGAACUACCGGCAUCUGACCUGACAUUCCAGUCAUCCUGAGAAAAGUGCUCCAAAUGAACGUUUAUUUAGUGUACAAAAAGUUAAAGUCAAAGUAAUAAUAAGUAUACAAAGUUAAAGAUAAUAAAAACGGAUUUUGUUUUGCAGAAGCGACGAUCUGGUUGGAUGAUGGACGUCCUCGAGAUGAAGUGGUUGAUUAAAUCCACGGCGUCAAAUCGAUGACAGGCCCAUCGAAGCAUCACCUACCACUUUCUCAACCGGGGAGCAACUUUUAAAUGAGAUCCAGAUUCCACUUCAGUCUACUGUCUAGGUAGAUAAGUACCUGACUUGAGUGAAAUUCGGCUGUUCCUAGUUAUUGAUGUAAAGCUGAAGACUAUUUUUCAAGGUAAUUUUCACUGUAUUCAUU